GGGGAGAGAGGUAGAGAAGGAGGAGGGGAGAGAGGAGAGAGGCAGAGAAGGGGGAAGGGAGAGAGGAGAGAGGCAGAGAAGGGGGAGGGAAGAUAGGCAGAUGUAGGAUGGUUAGAUAAUGAUCUAGGGCUAACCACUGUUGUGGAUAUCAUUUUUGUGAAGACAUUUUUAAAUGUAUUUUCUGCAGUUCUUGUUUUAUUUUCUUAAAGAAAGAAUAAUGAACAUGGAUUUAGUUUAGUUUUUUGACUAAUGGACAUAGUACCAAGUCUCAAAGCUGCUACCAGUAGGCUAACAGCUCAUGUUCACGUUCACAGAGUACCGGCAAGCAAAGCUACAGGAAUAAAGAUUGUAAGACAUUUACAUGGUAACCAAAGGAGAAACUUGUUUUCUGUGGUGAACUGGUACAAAGUUGACUGGGAUUUUUCUUUCUUACUUUCAGGGGUAUAGUGCUGCCAGAGCUCAGAGGAGCUCCGUCACUUAAAACAUUUUGGACCUGGUUGAAACUAUUGACUUAUUUUGAGCUGUGGAAUCCAGAACGACAUGUGGCCAUUUGGUUACGGCGACACCAUUCUGCCGAGGACACCCAAACCAGAACGGCCACCGCAGAGCCCAAGGAGCCUGGCCCUCUCUGCAAGUUGCUGUCUGCCUGCUUGGGACAUUUAGCCUACAAUGGCUAUUGGUUGAGACACUGUUCUAGCUUGGUAUGUCAGGGUGGCCAAUUGGAAGGUAAUAAUGCCUUUAAGUUAUAGUUUAUAGUUUAUUGAGAUGCAUUAAUACAACCACAAGCAAAGGCUGUUUUUCCUGCAGUAGUAAUGAUUUAUGCUCACUUGUUGGUCAAUUGAUUUGAUAGCGUGUUUAAUCUAUGCAAAUAAAUUCUAUGAAUUGAUA